UGAAUACGAGACGCUAAGGCGUCGAAGUAGUGUAUGUCAUACUUCCAAGAAAAGCUUGCACUGUCAUAAGUAAAAAAUGCCUGUACCAUAACCGACACAGGUGGGUAGGUAGAGUAUACUAAGGGGCGCGAGAUAACUCUCUCUAAGGAACACGGCAAAAUAACUCCGUAACUUCGGGAGAAGGAGUACCUAUUCUAUAAGGUUGCAAUAACAAGAUCCAAGCAACUUUUUAUCAAAAACACAGGUCUCCGCUAAGUCGUAAGACGAUGUAUGGGGGCUGACGCCUGCCCAGUGCCAGAAGGUUAAAGAAGUCGGUUAGCAUUAGCGAAGCUGGUAACUGAAGCCCUGGUGAACGGCGGCCGUAACAAUAACGGUCCUAAGGUAGCGAAAUUCCUUGUCGGGUAAGUUCCGACCCGCACGAAAGGCGUAAUGAUUUGGAUACUGUCUCGGAGAGGGGCUCGGUGAAAUAGACUUGUCUGUGAAGAUGCGGACUACCUGCACCAGGACAGAAAGACCCUAUGAAGCUUUACUGUAACUUGAAAUUGAAAUUGGACUUUAUUCGCGCAGUAUAGGUGGGAGGUGUUGAUUAUAAUCUUGCGGGAUUAUUGGAGCCAUCAGUGAGAUACCACUCUUGUAAUGUUAGAUUUCUAACUUUGAAUCAUUAUCUGGUCAAAGGACAGUUUCAGGCGGGCAGUUUGACUGGGGCGGUCGCCUCCCAAACGGUAACGGAGGCGUACAAAGGUUUCCUCUGAACGGGUAGAAAUCGUAUCUAGAGUGUAAAGGCAUAAGGAAGCUUGACUGUGAGACCUACAAGUCGAACAGGGACGAAAGUCGGUCUUAGUGAUCUGACGGUACUGAGUGGAAAGGCCGUCACUCAACGGAUAAAAGUUACUCUAGGAUAACAGGCUGAUCUCCCCCAAGAGUUCACAUCGACGGGGAGGUUUGGCACCUCGAUGUCGGCUCAUCGCAUCCUGGGGCGGUAGUACGUCCCAAGGGUUGGGCUGUUCGCCCAAAAGCGGUACGCGAGCUGGGUUCAGAACGUCGUGAGACAGUUCGGUCCGUAUCCGGUGUAGGCGUUAGAAUAUUGAGAGGAGCCUUCUUUAGUACGAGAGGACCGAGAAGGACAUACCUCUGGUGUACCAGUUAUCGUGCCAACGGUAAACGCUGGGUAGCUAUGUAUGGAGUGGAUAACCGCUGAAAGCAUCUAAGUGGGAAGCCCACCUCAAGAUAAG
rnacentral:rRNA from 1 species